CUGGAAGUAAUGCGAUUUUUAAAUAGACAUAAUUUACAAAUCAGUUUUUGGCACCAGUUGAUUUGAAAUUUUUCAAAUACCCCUUAAUAUCUCUAGGGUUAAUAGAUAAAAAAAAAAAGUACAUUUGUGCUUAAAUACCUGCAGCAUCCACUUGUGAAAGCUGAGGAGCUGUUUAUACAUUAAACUCAAUACUGUAUGCAAUAAGCUAUAGAGGGAAAAAUGUUAACUUUAUUGUAGCAAAACCCUGACUCUUCAUAGACAAAAAUAUAUACUAUGAAAAAUAAUUGACAUCAAAUAUAUACUGUAGAGCAAUUAAAAUGAAUUAUGUUUUAAGAGUACCUGUCCCCACCAAUUUUUGUAAUAUUUUUUAAUGCAUUAGAAACAACUUUCAAUCGCGACACUCGCUCCUCCCCAUAGGGAUUGAGGAAGUGCAGACAGAGCCCUGUGCAGAAGGGAUGAGGUGCCAGUGACCGGACCUGCUCCUACUGCUGACUGCGGGGGACACCAGGGAGGAGACAGGUAAAUGGGAUAAGCCACAUGUGAGAAUCCUCAAUGGAGAUGUUCACACCAUCAAUGAGCCUGCAAAACAAACAAAAAAAAGCUCAGGAAAAGAGUAGCUCUCGAAUAGAAGAUGCAGGUGGUACCAGUGAUCGGGAUUAUGGAUGUCAAUCCAAUAUAGAGAAAAAAUAUCGCAGCACUUUCCAACAGGGUGAAAAACAGAAAAAACUGUGUUAUUUACCCAUACGUAAUGACAAAAAUGGCAACCCUCUCACACACUCCGAAGCUCGUGCCCAGCACCGUGCGACUCCAUGUACUCAGCAUUUAGGACAAAUUUCAU